ensembl:lncRNA
AGGGAGAGAGAGAGAGGUUGAGAGAGAGGUUGAGAGAGAGAGAGAGAGAGAGGUUGAGAGAGAGAAAUUGAGAGAGAGGUUGAGGGAGAGGUUGAGAGAGAGAGCGAUUGAGAGAGAGAGAGAUUGAGAGAGAGAGGGAGAGAGAGAGAGGUUGAGAGAGAGAGGUUGAGAGAGAGAGAGAUGGGGAGAGAGAGGUUGAGAGAAAGAUGGGGUUGAGAGAGAGAGGUUGAGAGAGAGAGAUUGAGAGAGAGAGAGUGAGAUUGAGAGAGAGAGGAGAGAGAGAGUUGAGAGAGAGGUUGAGAGA